CCUACGGGUGGCAGCAGUGAGGAAUAUUGGUCAAUGGGCGCGAGCCUGAUCCAGCCAAGUCGCGUGAGGGAUGAAGGUUCUAUGGAUCGUAAACCCCUUUUAUAAGGGAAUAAAUUGUGGGAAGUGUCCUAUAUUGUAUGUACCUUAUGAAUAAGGAUCGCCUAGCACCGUGCCAGCAGCCGCGGUAAUAUGGAGUCACCGAGCGUUCUCCGGAUUUAUUGGGUUUAAAGGGCGCGUAGGGGGCUUUUUAAGUCAGCGGUGAAAGUCUGGGGCUCAACCAUAGAAUUGACUUUGAAACUGGGGGGCUAGAGUAUGUUUGAGGCAGGCGGAAUGCGAGGUGUAGCGGUGAAAUGCUUAGAU
rnacentral:rRNA from 1 species